rnacentral:rRNA from 1 species
GACGAACGCUGGCGGCGUGCCUAACACAUGCAAGUCGAGCGAAUGAAGUUCCUUCGGGAACUUCUUUAGCGGCGGACGGGUGAGUAACACGUGGGCAACCUGCCUCAUAGAGGGGAAUAGCCUUCCGAAAGGGAGAUUAAUACCGCAUAAGAUUGUAGUACCGCAUGGUACAGCAAUUAAAGGAGCAAUCCGCUAUGAGAUGGGCCCGCGGCGCAUUAGCUAGUUGGUGAGGUAACGGCUCACCAAGGCGACGAUGCGUAGCCGACCUGAGAGGGUGAUCGGCCACAUUGGGACUGAGACACGGCCCACACUCCUACGGGAGGCAGCAGUGGGGGAUAUUGCACAAUGGGGGAAACCGUGAUGCAGCGACGCCGCGUGGAGUGAAGAAGGUUUUCGGAUUGUAAACUCCUGUCGUAAGGGACGAUAAUGACGGUACCUGACAAGAAAGCCACGGCUAACUACGUGCCAGCAGCCGCGGUAAAACGUAGGUGGCAAGCGUUGUCCGGAUUUACUGGGUGUAAAGGGAGCGCAGGCGGACCGUCAAGUUGGAAGUGAAAACUUUGGGCUCAACCCGUAAUCUGCUUUCAAAACUGCAGGCCUAGAGUAGUGCAGAGGUAGGGGGAUUUCCCGGUGUAGCGGUGGAAUGCGUAGAUAUCGGGAGGAACACCAGUGGCGAAGGCGGCUUUCUGGGCACCAACUGACGCUGAGGCUCGAAAGGGGGGGGAGCAAACAAGAUUAGAUACCCUGGUAGUCCACGCCGUAAACGAUGAAUACUAGGUGUAGGGGGUUGUCAUGACCUCUGUGCCGCCGCUAACGCAUUAAGUAUUCCGCCUGGGGAGUACGGUCGCAAGAUUAGAACUCAAAGGAAUUGACGGGGGCCCGCACAAGCAGCGGAGCAUGUGGUUUAAUUCGAAGCAACGCGAAGAACCUUACCUAGACUUGACAUCUCCAGCAUUACUCUUAAUCGAGGAAGUCCCUUCGGGGACAGGAUGACAGGUGGUGCAUGGUUGUCGUCAGCUCGUGUCGUGAGAUGUUGGGUUAAGUCCCGCAACGAGCGCAACCCUUAUUGUUAGUUGCCAUCAUUAAGUUGGGCACUCUAGCGAGACUGCCCGGGUUAACCGGGAGGAAGGUGGGGAUGACGUCAAAUCAUCAUGCCCCUUAUGUCUAGGGCUACACACGUGCUACAAUGGUCGGUACAAUAAGACGCAAGCCCGCGAGGGGGAGCAAAACUGGAAAACCGAUCUCAGUUCGGAUUGUAGGCUGAAACUCGCCUACAUGAAGCUGGAGUUGCUAGUAAUCGCGAAUCAGCAUGUCGCGGUGAAUACGUUCCCGGGCCUUGCACUCACCGCCCGUCA